AGCAGUAUAACGCAUAGAGACAGAAUGCAUCUAAGUCCCGCCCACCCCAGAGGGGAAAACAAUUCAAAAAUGCCUAAAAGCUGCCGUGCGGUGGGAUCCACUACCGACAGAACCCAGAACUAACUUUUUAUAAGCUGCCGAACAGAAAAACUGAACCUUUAAGAAAACAAAAGUGGAUGCAGGACUGUGUUUGCCGUGUGGUUGGUGAGACACAAACCCGACAGCCUGCAGCUCCAAAACCUCCAUAAAAUUGAACAGCUGUUUAAUUGAAAGUCGUCUGGGACAAAGAUGAAAGAUAACCUCUCUUUACAACUGUGCUGAGCAGAAAAGCAUCUCAGAACUUGGAAGCUUGCGUCGGAUGGGCUACAAGAGCAGAAGACCACGGCGGGUUCCACUGCUGUCAGCCAAGAACAGAAACCUGAGGCAGCAGUGAGAGCAGACUCACCAAAAACUGGACAGUUGAAGACUGGAAAAACAAAGCCUGGUCUGACGAAUCUCGAUUUCUGCUGAGGCACGCAGAUAGUAGGGUCAGAAUUUGGCAUCAACAGCAUGAAUCCAUGGACCCAACCUGCCUUGUGUCAACAGUCCAGACUGCUGCUGCUGCUGCUGGUGUAACGGUGUGGGGGAAUGUUUUCUUGGCACACUUCUGGCCCCUUAAUACCAACAGGUCCGCCUCCGCCGAGGCUCCGCGUCAAACCGACGACUAACCAUGUGACGGCUCUCCGGCAGAGGCGAGGCGAGGAACAGAAAACAAAACGAAAGCGGAUCACAGGGGAGGCGGAGUACAGCGAGGCCAGAGACUGAGUCAAGAAAGGGACAGCUCAGCCUUGUUCCCACACACGCACAGCUGUUCUCUCAGCUCAUUUCUAACCAUAACCACAUCACUGAGGCCAUGUUGGGCCAGGACUGCCUCCAUGCCAGCUCUGCACCGAGCUCUGCAGCCUGCAAGCAGGAUCCUGUUGCACGUGGCAUGCAGCAGAGCCAAAGAUUAACCCAGAACCUGCCGUUCACAUUCACCUCCAGUGUGACUGUAUGACACCUCGCUUUGCUCAGAACUCCCAGGAUUUACUGUCUCUGACAAAAUAUAACUUUAGCUUAAGUUGUUAAAGAUAUGAACAAGGCUGCAACUAACGAGU